GUCCUGUGGGAUCCCCCCGUCCGAUCAGAUCAGAUAGACCAGGUCCUGUACUCUCUGGUCCACUCUCCAAGACCCAAUGCUGUCCCUGGGGUCACUGACCCGACCUCAGAGUGGUACAGCAUACUUAAUUCAGAUGAUAAGUAAUGUAGUUUGUAACAUUGUAGUGCUAUGAAUGGAUCCUGGUCAAAUCUUGAAAUGCACAAGCCUAACCCAAGUUUAAAAAACCUAUAUAUAUCUACAUGCUAUUGUAUGAUUCAUUGGCCAUUUUGGGUGACCAGUAAUAACAUUCUGGCAACGACCACCACUACCAAAAUCUGAUAGGAGUGAGUGAGAAUGGUGUGGGCAAGACAGUGACAACCUGAACUGCUACAUAUGCUUCCCCUAAAAAAAAAAAAAGUAGGCCGGCACUCAGUUGAAUCUUCACCACCUGUUCAUUGCCUGAAUGUACUGCAGAUGUGAGGGGAGAUCUUCAAGAACAGCCCACCCUACUCCCCUUGUACAUUGGUUUGUAUUGUAGAUAGCUUCCUCUAUAGGCUACAUACAGCUAUUGCAUGCAAAUCCACUAAUAGGCUGAUUUGGUUAGAAAAUGUGAAAUUCAGAAAAACAGUAUGUGAAAAAAGAUGGAGAAUCUAGAAAUCUAGAAAAAAGAGAGCAGGAUGGAGGGAGUGAAGGGCGAGGAAAAAUGUCACCAUUAUUAAUAAAUAACAUGUAAUUAUGAAUGUA